rnacentral:rRNA from 1 species
UACGGAGGGUGCGAGCGUUGUCCGGAUUUAUUGGGUUUAAAGGGUGCGUAGGCGGCCCGUUAAGUCCGGGGUGAAAGCCCGUUGCUCAACAACGGAACUGCCCUGGAUACUGGCGGGCUUGAGACUAGUGGAGGUUGGCGGAAUGGACCGAGUAGCGGUGAAAUGCAUAGAUACGGUCCAGAACCCCGAUUGCGAAGGCAGCUGACUACACUAGGACUGACGCUGAGGCACGACAGCGUGGGGAGCGAACAGG